rnacentral:tRNA from 1 species
GCCGAAGUGGCGGAACUGGCAGACGCGCCGGAUUCAAAAUCCGGUGUCCCCAAAAGACGUGUGGGUUCGAGUCCCACCUUCGGCAC